UCGAGUUACAGCUAGCAACGAGGCACC
rnacentral:piRNA from 1 species